rnacentral:rRNA from 1 species
GAGUUUGAUCCUGGCUCAGGAUGAACGCUGGCGGCGUGCUUAACACAUGCAAGUCGAACGGGAAACCUUUUAUUGAAGCUUCGGCAGAUUUAGCUGGUUUCUAGUGGCGGACGGGUGAGUAACGCGUGGGUAACCUGCCUUGUACAGGGGGAUAACAGUCAGAAAUGACUGCUAAUACCGCAUAAGCGCACAGAGCUGCAUGGCUCUGUGUGAAAAACUCCGGUGGUAUAAGAUGGACCCGCGUUGGAUUAGCUUGUUGGUGGGGUAACGGCUCACCAAGGCGACGAUCCAUAGCCGGCCUGAGAGGGUGAACGGCCACAUUGGGACUGAGACACGGCCCAGACUCCUACGGGAGGCAGCAGUGGGGAAUAUUGCACAAUGGGGGAAACCCUGAUGCAGCGACGCCGCGUGGAGGAAGAAGGUCUUCGGAUUGUAAACUCCUGUCGUUAGGGAAGAUAAUGACGGUACCCAACAAGGAAGUGCCGGCUAACUACGUGCCAGCCGCCGCGGUAAUAC